AUGAAACUUUUGAUUCUUUUUACGUUUUUUGGCCACAAGGCACCUACGCGUCGCAAGAUCAGCUGCGGCUCGGUCACCCCUCCCUUCUUCUUCGUCACAGGCCCGUCCCUCGUCCUCCCGGGGUCCGGCGCGACCCGAGCCCCCUGUACCUCCCCGUCCCUCGUCCUGCCGGGGUCCGGCGCGACCCCAGCUCCCUGUACCUCCCCGUCAGGCGUCCUCCCGGGGUCCGGCGCAACCCCGGCCCACGGAACCUCCCCGUCGGGCGUCCUGCCGGGGUCAGGCGCGACCCCAGCUCCCUGUACCUCCCCGUCAGGCGUCCUCCUGGGGUCCGGCGCGACCCCGGCCCACGGAACCUCCCCGUCGGGCGUCCUGCCGGGGUCCGGCGCGACCCCAGCUCCCUGUACCUCCCCGUCAGGCGUCCUCCCGGGGUCCGGCGCGACCCCGGCCCACGGAACCUCCCCGUCGGGCGUCCUCCCGGGGUCAGGCGCGACCCCAGCCCCAUGUACCUCCCCGUCCCGCAUCCUCCCGGGGUCAGGCGCGACCCCAGCUCCCUGUACCUCCCCGUCAGGCGUCCUCCCGGGGUCCGGCGCGACCCCGGCCCACGGAACCUCCCCGUCGGGCGUCCUGCCGGGGUCCGGCGCGACCCCAGCUCCCUGUACCUCCCCGUCGGGCGUCCUGCCGGGGUCCGGCGCGACCCCGGCUCCCUGUACCUCCCCGUCAGGCGUCCUCCCGGGGUCCGGCGCGACCCCGGCCCACGGAACCUCCCCGUCGGGCGUCCUCCCGGGGUCAGGCGCGACCCCAGCCCCAUGUACCUCCCCGUCUCACAUCCUCCCGGGGUCAGGCGCGACCCCAGCCCCAUGUACCUCCCCGUCAGGCGUCCUCCCGGGGUCCGGCGCGACCCCGGCCCACGGAACCUCCCCGUCGGGCGUCCUGCCGGGGUCAGGCGUCCUGCCGGGGUCCGGCGCGACCCCGGCUCCCUGUACCUCCCCGUCAGGCGUCCUCCCGGGGUCAGUUGAUUAG
rnacentral:lncRNA from 1 species